rnacentral:rRNA from 1 species
AUUAAACGCUGGCGGCAUGCCUUACACAUGCAAGUCGAACGGUAGCGCGGGGCAACCUGGCGACGAGUGGCGAACGGGUGAGUAAAGCAUCGGAACGUGCCCUGGAAUGGGGGAUAACGUAGCGAAAGUUACGCUAAUACCGCAUAUUCUGUGAGCAGGAAAGCAGGGGAUCGCAAGACCUUGCGUUCUGGGAGCGGCCGAUGUCGGAUUAGCUAGUUGGUGGGGUAAAAGCCUACCAAGGCGACGAUCCGUAGCGGGUCUGAGAGGAUGAUCCGCCACACUGGGACUGAGACACGGCCCAGACUCCUACGGGAGGCAGCAGUGGGGAAUUUUGGACAAUGGGCAGAAGCCUGAUCCAGCCAUGCCGCGUGAGUGAAGAAGGCCUCGGUUGU